rnacentral:rRNA from 1 species
UAAGACGAACCGUCCAAACGUUAUUCGGAAUCACUGGGCUUACAGAGUUCGUAGGCGGUCUGGAAAGUUGGGUGUGAAAUCCCUCGGCUCAACCGAGGAACUGCGCUUGAAACUACCAGACUCGAGGGAGAUAGAGGAAAGCGGAACUGAUGGUGGAGCGGUGAAAUGCGUUGAUAUCAUCAGGAACACCGGUGGCGAAGGCGGCUUUCUGGGUCUUACCUGACGCUGAGGAACGAAAGCCAGGGGAGCGAACGGG